GCCAGACUGGUCGGGGGAAAAAAAGACACAAAUUACCAAUAACAGAAAUGAGAAAUGUGACAUCACUAAAGAUUCUUCAGAUAUUCAAAGGAGAGUUGGGGUAUUAUGAAUAUCUUUAUGCCAAUAAGUUCAACAGCUUAGGCGAAAUAGACAAAUUCCUUGAAAAACACAAGCUAUCAAAACUCAUGAAGAAAUAAAUAACCUGAAUUAGCCCUAUUGCUCGCAAAGAAAUUUAUCAUUCAGAACUUUCUCAUAAAAUUCCAGGUCCAAACGUCUUCCCUGGUGAGUUCUACCAAAUAUUUCAAAGAAGAAAUAAUACCAGUGAUACACAGAUUCUUCCAGAAAAUUGAAAGAAUGCCUUCACCUCAGAUCAGGAACAAAGCGAGAAUCUCGCCACCUCCGUCCAGCAUCCCACAGGAAGAGCUAGCCAAUGCACUAAGGUAAGAAAAGGGCAUCCAGAUUAGAGAGGAAAAAGUCGAGCUUUGUUCACAGAUGACAUGAUCGUCUAUAUAGAAAAUCCUAUGAAAUCUAUUUUAAAAACUGCUAAAUGACUUUAGCAACCAAGGUUGUAGGAUAUAUGCUUAAUAUGCCCCCCAAAAUUGUAUUUCCACACAUUAGGAGCGAAUAAUCAGAAAUAGAAAUUUUAAAAGCCAUUACCAUUUACAGCAGCAUCAAAUAUAUAAAUUACUUGGAUAUAAACCCGACAAAAGAUGUACAAGACCUGUACACUGAAAACUACGGAAUAUUGCCGACUGAAAUUUAAAACUAAAGGACACCUAACCAAAUGGAGGAAUAUAUACCUGUGAACCAGAAGACUUGAGAUUGUUAAGAUGUCAGUUCUCUGCAAAUUGAUCUAUAGACCCAAUGCCAUCUCCUGAAAACCCCAGCAGGCUUUUUGUUUUGUUUUUAUAGGGAGGGAAAGGAGCUGGUGUGCAGUACCCCACCGCGGAGGAACACACAGGCCAGGCUGCACACAGCUCUCCAGGGUGGCCUUUCUCCCACUUGUCACCUCGUUUACACCCUGAGCACGGAUUGGACAGGUGGGUCCCUCGGCACAUCCAGCACAGGUGGCCUGUGAGGCAGCCCCAGGUAGGGAGUGAAUCCCCUUUGCGGCCAAGAAAACCAUUUAACAUCUGCUUACAAGGUCAGCAGCAGCUUACACCUCCGGGGCGCCCGCGAGGCCCUGUGGCAAGGGCCAAAUUGCUGGGCCCUACGAGGAAGACGCCACAGCUCCGUCUUGCACAUGAGGAAGCUGGGGCUUGCCGGUAUGAAUGGCUCAAGUUUCCUGAGCACUUACUACGUGCCAGGUACCCUUCCGGGUGCUCCGUAUAGACUUGUGAAUGCACAGCACAGUCCUGUGAGGUAAGCAGCCAUUUUUAGUCCCCUUCCAUGUUUGAAGACACCAAGACCUGAGAGCACAGGUUACCUGCUCAGGUCACGCAGCCAGGGAGGGGUGCAAGCUGGCGUGCAAACCCAGACGGGCUCCCACCACCACCGUCUCCUACCUACCUCCUCGGCCGAUUGUAGCCACAGUGACAGGAAAUGCAAUCCAGGGACCCCCGAGAACGCCCUCCUGACAUGCAGUGACUGCACGUGGACUCUGUUCUCCCCUUCACGGCAUCGUCUCCCGUGACGGGCACCUCGGGAGAGCUGCUGCCCCACAGCUAACCUGGGCAGAGAAAGGGGUCCACAGGCGCCCGUCCCCAGAGGGGUGGCCAGAGCCCCACACCGAGGCACCGCUGCGUCGCGCUUCACCGUGUCCUCAGGGCCGCCUGCCCUUCCCGCAUUGCUCCUUCAGCGGCAUUUGAAAUUCUUAAGUGCUCGUCUGUGCACCCAGGUGCUGCGUCCCCACCGGGGCUCUCAUCCCAGAGACUGUCCCAGUGGGUGCCGCUCCCUCUCUAAGUCGCCCUUCCUCUCCCCAAUAUGAGGCCAAGACACUCCAGGCCACUCUCCUCGUCUCCACGGACGGCCGCCUCCUCAGGGAAGACUUAACGACCCUCCAAACUGGGCCAGUCCAACUAUACUUCCCUCCGCAGCCCUCUGCAGACAUCGCCAUCGCGUCAGCUCUGUGUGACGUUUUAUUUGUCUCCUCGGGACAUUGCGCUCCAAGCUGCCGCUCCUCCAACACCUGGCAGAGGGCACAGGAGAUGAUCAGAGGAUGCUUGUCACAGAGGGAGCGCUGCCACCUGCUACGACACGGGCCAACCCGGAAGACACUGCGACGUGAGUGAAAGACGGAAGACGGACUCGAAGGCCACACCCGCUGCGACCCCAUUCACAGGAACUGCCCAGAAGGCGACGUACAGAGACAAAGCAGACAAGUGGUUGCUUAGGGCUGGGGGCAGGGGCGACAACUAACACAGGGAGAUGAUGAAGAUACCCGCGAAUCGGGUUGGCCGCGCAACUCUGAAUUUACUAAAAACCAUGGACUCGCUCGCCCUACGCGGGUGAGUUAUAUGGCGGGUGGACUAUGUCUCGAUUCAGCUGUGAAAAAAAUUAAAAUACGCUCGUCUGGCUGGCUGGUUGGCGCUCAGUGUGUGUUUGUUGGUGCUUAGAAUCCUGGAUAACCAACUCCUGUUGUCUGGAUGUCACAUUGCUUUUCGCCUCAUUGAAAGAGGAAUCUCUGGUCCCUGAUAUAAAGCCCAACCCAGCGCCAUCGUUCUCGGGGAGCCCCAUGUGCAAGUUUGACUCCGAGCACCACCGCUACACUUUGCUGGGUCCGACGGGAGGACAGGCUAGGUGUGCGUGUCCUGGCAGGCAGAUUAGGAAACGCCAGGGUGCGAGGCCAGGCGGCCAGCCCGACCUCACUCACCAAGGCAAGUGGCAGCCAAGAAUAGCGCGGGGCUUCUAACUGCGUCUCGCUCGCUGCGAACAGCUGGCCACGCCAUCCAUCAUCUGUCUGAUUUAAAAAGGGACCGUAAGCUAUGAACCAGGGCCGUGGCCCUUAAACCUGAGUUGGGCUCGGGCUGGUAAAGGACCUAACCCUGUCCUCUGCAUUUCUGUCUGUAGGGACGAGGGGGCCCUGCCUUGUCCAGAGCUGGGCUGGCUGCUGCCAGGACUAAUGUCACUUGUGUGGGUUUGCCUCUCUGGGCAGGAACGGGCCUCAUCGCUCCGAUGUGUUUUCUUACAAUAAUUUCCGUCAUCCGGUGCCAGUGGGGCUACCAAUGGCUCAUAUUGAGCAUCACACUCGGGACCUUCUGCACCCCAGUCAGCCCGAGAAUGGUUAGGGGCAGUCUGGGAGGACUGGGGUGUAGAAGGGCUGGGUGACGUAGCCGAAAACACAGUGACAGAGCGGGGUCCAAAGACGGCCGUGCGAAACCAGCCACGCUCUGCAGCUUCCCAGCUGACUGACCUUAGCGAGUCUCUCGACCCUUUCUGAGGGCCAGUUUCCUCCUCUGUAAAAGGGGAAAGCACGCACUCGAUGUGCUGGACGGUGACGGGAAAGGGCCUGGCAGCACUGGUCACCACCACUGGGCUGUGCGUCUUUGCGGGAGUGAGUCGUGUGCUGACAGUUUGGGCGGGCCGGUUUUGAACAGUGCGUGUACAGUGGCCUGCAAUGUUUGCCUUCAUCGGAUGCCCAGACACUAACCAGGUAGAAACAGAUCCUGUGGGGCCACCCAGGCAGGAAAGAUGAUGACCAAGAGACAAAUCAAGCCGAAGGUGACAGAGCCCCUGGGCUGUUAGAAAUGGCCAAGGGCCUGCGAGUGCCACCAGCCAUCUUUCUGCCUUUCCCGACGAGCUAUCUCCUCUUUGGCCUCAGAUCCUAACCUACAGUGAGUCCGUCCAUUCAGAGCGGAGGUCAGGCUCUCCCCAUAGUGACGUCAGAGGUGGAAGGCAGGCUGAGGCUGGGGUCGGGGUGCUCCUGCUUCGCCCAGAUGGCUUAGGGCAGGUGGGCCUGGCCCAGCCCAGACAGGCAGCCCUCCCAGGUCCGGGCUCCUGUGACAGCUGGCUCGAGUCUAGUGUCUGUGUUUCAUCCCAGUCUGGGACGUCUAAAUUUAACCUGCUAUCAGCUUGAGAGGCCGGAGGGCCUCCACUGUGACUAAAUGCCACUUGGAGUCUACUCGGAACCACCUUCACUGGCUGUGCCCCUCCCAAACGCUCCCCCGAAUGCAGGCUGUGCUCCGGGCGUCUUCGCUCAGCCGCGUGGCUGCGUGAAGGUUUAAAUGUCCGAGCAACUCAGGCUUUAUCCUGAUACGAUCCAGCUCAGCUUUCUCCGGCUGUUGGCUAGGCCUGCACCCGUCCUUCGUUCACGCUUGUACGCACGCGUGCACGUACACACACACCCCGUGGUCUCAUGGGCAGAGCUCAGGAGCCGACUCCACAACCGAAAGCCAAACCACGACAGUGAACUGCACCACCCAUAAGCCAUCUGGGUGGAGGGCGGCCAGUGGAGCCUCUUAUGCAAUUUCCUGCUGUGGUGUCUCAGACCCAGGAGACAGGAUGCAGAAUGCCGUUGGGUUGCUGCAAUGUGGAAAACCCAGAGAAGAAACCCAAUCCCCUGUGCCCAGAGCGAGUGAGAGCCCCUUGUCCUCCGUGGCAAUGCCAAGAGGCCACUGCCCAACCGGGCAGAUGAUCCUGGGGUCUGCAGCUGACCAGGAAGCCCCUCCUCAAAGGGAAUGAGCCAGGCUCACUGCAGGCAGCGGGAGAACUGACUGCACAAACUACCAACUUCUGGGGGCAGGGCGGGGUAGAUGGGUGCGAAAGGCAUUUCCUGCCCAGGGAACCCAGGAUGGAGUGAGCCAGAGGCAUAGCGCCUUAUUAUUAAUAGUCACCAGGACUCGGCACCAAACGGCAUACUCCACAGUGAUAUGCUGAGGUCGAGAGCACACAGUGCCAAGAGGUGGGGCUCUGGGGCCGGGGUUCAAGUCCUGCGUCUGCCUCUUCCCAGAUGCACAGCCUUGGGCAGCUACUCAACUUCCGCUCGCCCUCAGUUUCCUCAUCUGUGAAAUGGGGACCCCGAUAACACCUGGGUUGUCGUGAGGAUUCAGUGAGUUAACACCUGGAAGCCAAGUGUCCUCACCACGUCAGCUAGGAGGAGGCCCCUUGGAGAAACUCCAUUUUCCGCACAAGGUUCAUUUUACAUUUUCUUCAAGAGUCUUGUGCCUCCUGGUAAGUGCACUGGUUUGUUUUCACAGUACUCUCCAUGACCACAGACGGUCCUUAUUGCUGGAGGAGUGUGUCCACACCGAGGGACGGGGACACCAGAGGGAUCGGGGACCCAGGCGAAAAGCCUGAGGUCUGUGCUCCUGACGUGAGGGGGGAGGCCAAGGGACCAGACCCAAGCUAAGCCUAGCGUCCUUGGCCUGGUCUGCAGCUCUCCAGGGUCUUCAGAAAGCCGGAUGGGCAGAGAAGGGGACCUGGGGGGAGGGAAGCUGGGGGCCAGACAUGCUGCAGGCGCAGGCGGAGGCAGCUGGAGCGUGGGCACAGUGCUGACCCCGCAGAGAGGGCUGACUCACACUCAGCACGCGCUUGGGGGACUCUGCCCCCAGACGGCUCCGGACCCUCCCCGACGGUUCGUUCCCACUGCCACUCCCUCCCCAGUAACAAUCCCGCAGCCAUGACCCAGAACCAGCCCUGUGGCCUCCUGACCCCCAGCCCAGGGCCCUUUCUCCUUUUUAGUGCAAGAAAAACCUGAGUGCAGAGAAGGGCCACUCCAUCGGGAGGCCAGGCCCUGUCCACAGCAGCUGGCGCGUCACCCCGUUCCCCCGCCAGCCCAGCCCGAGGUGGAGCUGGGACCCGUCGUUCCCCUCACUCGAGGCUACGAGGGCCUCCGCGCACGAAACUGGCAGUGUCCAGGGGGACUGUCCCAGGCCUGACAGGGAUUUCCCAAGCACCACAGCGAUGGCCAGCGGCCCGAAGCCGCUUCCAGUCCAGUUGCCCCAGGACGGCUGUGCCUCCUGUCAGGAGUGGGGCUCGGGAGACGAAGUGGACGACUCACCAUGGCAAGUUAAGGCGGCCAGGACAAGAGGCAAGGAGCAGCCCUCGGCCCUUCUCUGCAGAUUCAAUCAGCAAGAGGCAGGAUCUCUGUACUGAAUCGUUAUUGCCCUGAUUGUUACGGCGGGCGGGCGCCUUCUCGCACAUCUCCAGGAGCCGCCAGCUUUUGUUUCGGGCCCUCGGAAGGCCUUUUCUGAACGAGCCCCCCCCCCCCGUUUCUGGGGACAGCGGCUGAGUACGGGGCUCUGCCCGUGGACGGGAGGGAAUAAUACCACGAGCAACUGUGCCGCGCCAGUCGGUCACUCAGCUUCGGAACAUGGUUUUGUUGGUUAAUGACAGGCCAGAUCGCUUCCAACUCAGCAUUUCGGCUACAGGGCUAUCCGCGCCACCUGUCCCCUCGCCGGAUCCCCAGCAACCCCCAGGGAGUUCUGUCUGGAUCCCCACUGACAGAUGACAAAGCCGCACCUCCGAGGGCGGCGGUCCAAGGCUCCAGGGUUGGCACUGGUCAGUCGUCUGACACUGGGGCCCGAGCCCACUCCACACAGCCCCUCCCGGGUUGCCUCAGACUCUGCUCGUUCUCUGGGGCUGGUCCUCUCCCAACUGGGGUUACAAGGCCAGGAGAAUGGGAUGCAUGACACAGAGGGCAUCCCAAGAAGGUGGGGCGGGGAGCAAAGGGAAGCAGGUGGAGAACAAGAAAACCGGCCUCCAGCCACUUAAAAACGCCAAUC